rnacentral:lncRNA from 1 species
UGAUACCAUCACCCUGCCACGGAUCACUGUGCAGAUGUUACAACUAUAUUUAGACACAGUCCCAAAGUCGGAUGGGGCUGCUCCAACCCAUUGGCGUCAAGAAGCCCUUAAUUGCUUCUUGAACUGCACACAAGUGGGCCGUUGACUGGGACUGUAAUUCAGCACACAGAAGCCAGGAAGACACUAACGCAGAUUUUGUUGAGGCGACGUCUUAAAUGGAGAACACAAUGGGGCACGAUCAGCGGGCACAGGAUGUGGCGCAGUGGAGGGAAAGCUACUGAGAACAAAGACCGUGCACUGAGCGAAGAGGUAAUGAGCAGAAACUGCCUGGCCCCUGCAGCCUCGCUCACCCGCCGCUCCGCCCACACCACAGCCACCUCUGUAGAAGCUGCACGGGCUACAGGGACGAGAACACGCAUGCGCACAACCCAGCCUCCUCCUGCCAACCGUGAGCCUUUUGUAACCGCUUCUCCCUCCCUCACCUAAGAAAGAUGCAGGCCAUCCAAGGACAAGGAAGUCUCCUUUUGAGGACUGUGCCUUUUUACUUGCCUGGUUGUUAGAUCUGGGAAAUACAAAGCAAGGCCCAGCACUUCUCUAAGCCUCCCAUCCCACUGCACCGAGAAGAAUCUCUUCUGGCCUUAGAUGUCUGUGCCACCCCAUGCAGCACUUACAGGCAUUAAACAGAAGUCAAGGUGAUGGUGGUGAAGUCAGGCUUGGAAUCCACAGCUCUCUGACUUCAGCAUCCAAACUCUUCUACUCGGACUCAGGCCCCAAACUGCACAUGCUCAGGACACACCUUACCCAGGGUCGACGUGACGGGGACACAGUUUCAUAUUCAUUUAUCUCAUGGAAUCAGGGGCUUCAAUGUCUGCCAAUAUUUAGCAAAGAGCUAACUGUUCUUCAUAUGCGAUUUGUAAACUUAAUAACAAAUGCUACAAGAUCAGCUCUUUUCUCCUCGUGUAUCUAACAAGAAAGCUCGGAGUCCGUGCGACUGAACAAUUCACUAGGUUUCCACCAUAGUAGGUACAGGUGGCUAAAUGAGAAAGUCCAUGAGGUCCCUGCAUGGUGUCUUUCCGGUUCCAUUGGCCUAGUACCCUGCUAUCAACAAAGUACAGGCUUAUUAUCGUCCUUUUCCUACUUAGUUAAAAAAGACUAAUUCUAACCCAGGCCUAUUAGAGGACCCUAUGCGUAAGAAUCUUGUAUACUCUAAGCAUCAGAAGUGAUGCCACCAAUUCAUUUAGCCACUGUCAUAAAGUUGUCAUACUAAAGGUAAUCACUGUAAAAAAAAAAGGCACACAAUAAAAUAGAAAUGUACAAUGGUGAUGCUAUUAAUAGACCAGUUAGGGAGAUUUAAGUGACUUAUUCCAUUGCUAGACCUUCACAGUAGUCCUGUCUGGCUCAUCCAGUUCAUAAAACCUUUUCUAUGACAAAAGGGCCGGCUUUAUUUCCCAGGGGCAGCACACACUCUCCUUCGUGAGCAGUCACAAUCCCAUGCGCAUAGCUAAGCUGCAAAGGAGGCUCUCAAUGGUCUCUCAAAAGUGGUUACACAACUGGUUCAUCUCGCACUGACUGACCUAAGUGGUUAGAGUUAUGUAAAGAAAAUGCUGAGUUCCAAUGUUACUGCUGAAUUCCUUGGAAACUCCUCAGCAAGGGUGGGGAGGGGGAGCAGAAGUGGACCCGGGCUUCAGCAAGCAUUUAUUUAUUAAGAAUAUAUGAGGUGCCCUGCUCUGCCUCGCCCACUCCAAAGCACUGGCGGGGGUUCAGGGCAAGGGGCGCUCUCGGACCACACGUCAGCCUCCACAGCUUCACUCCUGCUGGCCCGAGCACUUCAGGGUUUCAGUGGUGAAAAGCUCGCUUCUGGAAUUAGAUCUGGUUAGAAAUCAGAUCUGGAGCAGCCAGGCGCAAGUUCUUUAAACUGAAGGGCUCUGUUUCUGUAUGUGUGGGCAGAGAUAACAAUGUUCACAGUAGGUGAGGAACGGUGAGCAAAUCUCGUAUUUGGAGGGCACUGCAGCCAUGAUGGAGUAGUCGUCCGGCAUCCAGCACACUGCUGACCACUCGGGAGCUGGUGGCCUGGGCCGCUUCUGAGGCAGCUCAGGAUGAAGCCAUGGGUUCUGAACAACUUUUCUCCAUCAUUCCAGGCUUUGUACUCUCGUCCCUUCCUUGUAACCAUUACUUCCAUACUCCAAGCCCAUCGCACACUUGACCUGGUAACCAUAUUCGAUGCGUAGCCUACUCUAUACCUCUGUUCCAUUUCUUUCUGCAACCCGUAUCUGAUCACUAGAGCACCUGAAUUCACCCUCACCUCUGCGCCUGUGCCUUGUCUUUGCAAGUUCCUAAUUUCCGGCCUAUCCUCCGUACCGGACUGUAUGCACCACUAAGGCAAGACUUUGCUUCAGAGCACCUUCCAAGUUCAGCGAUGGACAGGGGCAGGUGUUCAAUAGCCAUUUGUUUAGAAGAUGAAUUGAUGAGGAAAACAGAUACCAUGUCUAAAUGUGGGUAAAUCUGCCUGCGAGGAAGGGCCUGGCUCAAACGCAGCAUCAAAUUCUGUAGCUCCGACUUAUGCCCAGUGUCAUAAAAUCUCUGGAUAAGCAGCAGGGAUGGCUGCAGUGUCACUCGGAGGCCUUUCUCCCACAGCCUCCGUGGCUCAUCCCACACAUUGUGGGGACACAGGCCAUCGUACGGUCUGGCUUCCUCUUUCUCGGGAAGACUGCCGUUGGUAGAUACGGGUGUGAAGGUGGACCCAAUUCAGAUGUUUACAUGAAUGACUGGCAAAAAAAUAAAUGUGGAAAGAAUUCAGGUCAGUCCUACCAUUAGUAACAUUAUCUGCUUGCUCUCCUGGAAGCUCUUUCAGGUUUUGCUUCCAUCCCCACCUCUACAUAAAGAGAUGAGGAUGGGACCGCAGCACCUAGAAUUACAACCAUCCUGUCAACUUGCCAUUUGACUCACUGUCUAGCCAGUGGCUCUCCCUCUGGGUCUGCAGACAUUCUGCACAGGAACAAAGCAAGAAAGUGAACAGUCACAGGUCUGACAAAUUCUCACAACUUCAAAGCCCCUUGUCCCACCAUCCAUCCAUAUUUCUGGUAAGCACCACAGAGAGUCUCACAUCUGUUACCUCCGGCUCUGCUGGGAAUGAAAGCAGUGACCCCCAUGCGAUGUGUUCUAACGGCCCGCGGGCACCGGGCCAUUUCAUCCUGACCCCCUUGCAUGGCCAUCCUGGUGACAGGAGGACACCUGAAAGGCUCCCUUCGUCUGUUCCUCAGUGCCUUAAACAUAAGAGUAUACAUCACCUUUCAGGAUUUAUAUUUGGAAGAGGGAAAUGAACUAGAUACAGCCUAUAAAAAGGCAAA